CAGUAGCCACGGUAAGACGAACCGUGCGAACGUUAUUCGGAAUCAUUGGGCUUAAAGCGCGUGUAGGCGGAUGGGAACGUCGGUCGCUGAAAUACCCCGGCUCAACCGGGGAACUGGCAUCGAAACGACCCGUCUCGAGGGGCAUAGGGGGAGCUGGAACUUCCGGUGGAGCGGUGAAAUGCGUUGAGAUCGGAAGGGACGCCCGUGGCGAAAGCGAGCUCCUGGAUGUCUUCUGACGCUGAGACGCGAAAGCUAGGGUAGCGAACGGGAUUAGAUACCCCAGUAGUCCCUGUCUCUUAUA
rnacentral:rRNA from 1 species